GUCACAACUUUCCACGCACAGCAGGUGGAAAGCUUGGAAGCGGCACGAGGUCCCUCGUUUUCGUGGCGAAGGUAAUAGCGAAGUCGAUCCACGAAGAAGAACGAGAAGGGUCACACACGAAGCCUACUUUCUUCCUCUUUCUUCACAGCCCGAAAGGGGGGAAGUCGUAUCGUCGCGGGCCCGCGCUCGCCAGCCCGAGCCAGUCACACGGACCCACUCGACGAAUCUCGAUGGGCCUCGCUCGUUUCUCUCGCGCCGCGCUCUAUAAACUUCCGGUUUGAGAAGAGGGAAGGAAGAGUAAUAAGUUGUAAUCGAUAAU